UACGUAGGCAGCAAGCGUUGUUCGGAAUUACUGGGCGUAAAGCGCACGUAGGCGGCUUUGUAAGUUAGAGGUGAAAGCCCAGGGCUUAACCCUGGAAUUGCCUUUAAGACUGCAUCGCUAGAAUCGUGGAGAGGUGAGUGGAAUUCCGAGUGUAGAGGUGAAAUUCGUAGAUAUUCGGAAGAACACCAGUGGCGAAGGCGACUCACUGGACACGUAUUGACGCUGAGGUGCGAAAGCGUGGGGAGCAAACAGG
rnacentral:rRNA from 1 species